GUGGCCUUAGCUCAAUUGGCAGAGCAUCGGAUUGUGGCUCCGCUCGGCCUAAACGCUGUGCCGCUGAGCGUGCGAUGCCUGCGAAAAUGGCGGAAUCCGACGCUGUAUCUGCGCCUCCGGUUCGGCACACGUCGAAUGCCGGGCCCUC
rnacentral:tRNA from 1 species